rnacentral:rRNA from 1 species
GAGGUCUCAAGCGUUGUUCGGAAUCAUUGGGCGUAAAGGGUGCGUAGGCGGCUCGGUAAGUCGGGUGUGAAAUCUCGGGGCUUAACUCCGAAACUGCAUUCGAUACUACCGUGCUUGAGGACUGGAGAGGAGACUGGAAUUUACGGUGUAGCGGUGAAAUGCGUAGAUAUCGUAAGGAAGACCAGUGGCGAAGGCGGGUCUCUGGGCAGUUCCUGACGCUGAGGCACGAAGGCCAGGGGAGCAAACGGG